rnacentral:rRNA from 1 species
GAUGAACGCUGGCGGCGUGCCUAAUACAUGCAAGUCGAGCGAACAGACGAGGAGCUUGCUCCUCUGACGUUAGCGGCGGACGGGUGAGUAACACGUGGAUAACCUACCUAUAAGACUGGGAUAACUUCGGGAAACCGGAGCUAAUACCGGAUAAUAUAUUGAACCGCAUGGUUCAAUAGUGAAAGACGGUUUUGCUGUCACUUAUAGAUGGAUCCGCGCCGCUUUAGCUAGUUGGUAAGGUAACGGCUUACCAAGGCAACGAUGCGUAGCCGACCUGAGAGGGUGAUGGGCCACACUGGAACUGAGACACGGUCCAGACUCCUACGGGAGGCAGCAGUAGGGAAUCUUCCGCAAUGGGCGAAAGCCUGACGGAGCAACGCCGCGUGAGUGAUGAAGGUCUUCGGAUCGUAAAACUCUGUUAUUAGGGAAGAACAAAUGUGUAAGUAACUAUGCACGUCUUGACGGUACCUAAUCAGAAAGCCACGGCUAACUACGUG